CUCUGUGACAGCUGGAGUCUGGGGCAGCAGGAAUUCUGCCGCUUACAAGUUCAAAACGCUGUUUCCAGAAUGAACUCUGUAACCACUUGAGGACAAUGGCCAGUCAUUUGGGGGCAUUCUAGAGCCCCAAGGCCCAAUUCCCUGCCCUGACCAGAACUCCGAAGCCAGGGACUCGGAGCCUAGGUUCUUCUGUGAACUCUUAAAACCUCUAGGUUCCGGAAGAAGUGUGGGGCCACUUGAGAGAAAACUGGGGUUGGUUCCAUGGUGUAGCCUGUGAUCCCUGGGUCCGAAGUCCUGAUUCCGGGUGAACUCUGCAAUCCCUAUGGUCAAAACGCUGAUCCGGAGUUAACACUGGAACAGGUGGUCCAAGUCCCGGCACUGUGGGAAGGCUGGGGUCCAAACCCCUCCUCCUUUAGAACUCUGGGGUCUCCCGAGCCAAAGGCCAACGCUGCUCCCUGCAGUGGUACUGCUGGAGGCAGAGCCUUGGUUUUAUGCCCCACUUUCGUACCUCUGGAACCAAAGCCUUGGCUCGGCCGCGCACCCUGCAACACCCUGAGCCAAAGACCAGUCCCUGGGUGAGCUGCAUACCAGGGAAAGACUGGGAUGGCUGGACUGCCUUCAAAGAAGUUGAGAAACCUCCUUUUGGAAACUGAAACUGUAACCCAUUGGGCAACAAUAAUUAAACUCACCAUGGAAGCCCCACCCCCCUCUCACAAGGACUCAUUUUUCUUAUCUGUGAAAAGAGGGUGACUUCACAGCAGGCUGACCUGUCUGCCCUCUGCUUUCCCAGAAGAUUAGGAUCAUGCUGCAGCUAAAGUCGGGCUUCAGGUAACCUGAAGUCAUCGUUUUCCAGACAGCCAGUGUUCAUCUCAGUUCAGACACAUGCAUCAUCCUCUCGCAAGUCUGGUGCCAUCACCCACUCACUCUUCCUGAAUCUUCGUGUUGGUGAAGUUCUGUCGCAAUUCAGCACAUACUGCCUCCGUCCUGGUUUUUUGAGGGUCCUUGCUAGUAAAUUACCCAUGGGAGCUGA